rnacentral:rRNA from 1 species
CCUACGGGGGGCAGCAGUGGGGAAUAUUGCACAAUGGGGGAAACCCUGAUGCAGCGACGCCGCGUGAGUGAAGAAGUAUUUCGGUACGUAAAGCUCUAUCAGCAGGGAAGAAAAUGACGGUACCUGACUAAGAAGCCCCGGCUAACUACGUGCCAGCAGCCGCGGUAAUACGUAGGGGGCAAGCGUUAUCCGGAUUUACUGGGUGUAAAGGGAGUGUAGACGGCAGGGCAAGUCUGGAGUGAAAUCCCAUGGCUUAACCAUGGAACUGCUUUGGAAACUGUGCAGCUAGAGUGCAGGAGAGGUAAGCGGAAUUCGUGGUGUAGCGGUGAAAUGCGUAGAUAUUAGGAGGAACACCAGUGGCGAAGGCGGCUUACUGGACUGUAACUGACGUUGAGGCUCGAAAGCGUGGGGAGCAAACAGGAUUAGAUACCCCUGUAGUC